UAUUUGUGUUCCCUAACCCUCUCUCUCUCUCUCUCUCUCUCUCAUCCGAUUAUGGGCAGAAAGGCAGAUCUCAGGCGUGUUUAUCUGCCUCUGCCUUUCUCUCUCCCAUGUCUACUAUUGCUAUUUUGUGGUUGGUACUUAGAAGUUUUAGAUCAUGUAUGUUCUUUGUAUUCCUUUGAAAUAGUACAGUCUAAACUUCUCCUUUGUUUUGCUUAGUUUGUUUUAUUGAUUUUGUUCAUCUACUAAUUGCCAGACACUAGAUAACAUUUAUAUGGUUUCCUUUUGCCUGAAAAUCUGAUCCAAAUAUAACCCAAAAAAUAAAAAUAAGAAAACAGCUUUUGUUUUUCCAUUCCUUCUAUUCUGAUUUUCAAAACUGAUUUGUUUCUAAUUAAAGGAAAAAAUUCUUUCCUUGUUUUGUUUUCUUGUGCUGUUGUAUGAAAAUGAGUUUGAAAGCAGUAGAUUCUUCUUCGCUACUGUCACCUCUAAUCGUCACGAUUUGCCCUCUAGUGGUAAUAGACUCGGAGGCGGCUACCAAAAUCUAAUUUUCUCUAUAUCUCUCCUUUUUUUUUUUUUUAUUAGCGAAAGUCAAUUGUUAGUUGUUAAAUUUUAUUUUUAUUUUUAUUUUUUUGUAUUUUUGGAGGUUUUUUAACUGGACUAAUUUUUGCUUUGAUGAUUUUUGUGUGCACCCAUCUCUCUCUCUAUUAUCAUCGUCGUCGCUGCUAUGCAUGGGAUUGAUUGACAGUCGUUGUUUGCGGGUGUAGCAUCAUCAAGAUUCACAUGCAAAUCCACGCGGCGGUGAUGUAAUUUCUCUCUCUUUCUCUUUGCCAGAGGUUUUUGAAGGUGAGAAUCUUGAUGAUGCUGCAUCGGCAAUAAACGACUACCUAUAUAUAUACACAAUACUCUCCUAUAAAUAGAUAUAUAAAGAAGGCUUACAGAUGACCCACUUUGCAUUUCAAGAAGGUGAUUCUAUUUCUUCCAGGUUUCCGUCAGACUCAUGUGUGCUGAUGUGGAUGACUGCUGAGCUUGCAGAUCUGUGAUUAUUCUCCUGAUCAGUAUAGAAGCUUUGAUGAAACUAGUAACUCUUUGUGCUGAUCAUUUGAUAGAGAUGGGUAGAGGAUAUUCUUGAGAGAGAGAGAGAGAGAGAGAGAGUGAGUAGCUGAUGAUGAUGCAUAAAUUACUACAUAAAGGUAAUUUUUCAUACCCUUAAUGUAUGCACUUAUUGCUAUUGUAAGGUGACAGAUCCACCAAUGAACUCUUACCUAUCUUUAUUUUUAGAUUUUUUUAUUUUUAUUUUGAAUGUUUUUUUUGAAAGAUUAAUAUGUUUAUGCAUUCCCCAAAAAACUGCUAACAUUUAGAGAACAAAUAGAAAGCCAUGGCUUAUGAGGAAAAAUAAAUAAAAAAAGUAAAUAAAAAAAACUCAAAACCAAGCCAAGGCUUAUGAUAUAACAAUAGGAGAAAUAACAUUUUAGUUGUAAAGUUAAAAAAUAAUAUCAAUCUCAAACAAAGUUUUUCAUUAAUGUGAAAUGAUUUUUCCUAAAUUCAACUGAAAUGAUGUUUUCCCUAUAACAAUAUGCUGAAGCUUUGGCUUUUUCUAUCUCUGUCUUCUUUUAGAAAGGAUUCGAAGUGUAUUUGAUGAGUAAUACUAGUACUAUACAAACAAAAAUAUUUAUUCAAAUUGAUUUGACAAUCUUGGAUCAUAUCAUUUUAUAUGACAAAAAAGGAAAUAACAGUUCAAUUUAUAUUUGUAAAAAAAAAAAAAAAUCAGAUUAGUGAUAUAUUUUAAUAAUUAAAGUCAUAAAUUUUUUCAUCAAUAAGUAAUUAUUUUGGAAGAAAACACAAAUUUGUAAUUUUUCGUAAAAAAAACCUAUCAAUGCGACUUAUAUUUUCAAAAAAGUUUGCUCUUGCAUCAUUUUGAUAUGAAAUUUUGUAUAAAUUUCAAUCAUUUUUCAUGUUUGAUUAAAUAUAUGGACAUUCUCCCAAGUGGUUUUUAUUUUUUUGGUAUGUGGAAGCAUUCUAGGUCUUUGAAAAUUGGAACUUUGGGAACUUUGAAUGGAAAUCAUGCAGGGAACAUGUUACAUUGUCACUAAUAUGGUUGGGUUGCUUUUUAACAUUUAUCAGCCAUCACCUUUGUAGGUGGACCAACCCUCCAUCCCAAGGUACAUCUUGCUACUGGUCCCUUCAGAUACUGUUCAGUGCACCAAUAUUCACAUCUCCAAUAAUAGUACCAAAAGGGGUUCACAAAAAUAUCUUUAAUUUUGGUUCAUUAUUCAUGACAGCUAUGAUUCAGUCAUUUCAACAACAUAUAGAGAUCUGUGUGCCUCCAUCACUGUCCAAGAGCUGGUUCUCAAUUUCUGGGCUCCAAUGGUUUAUACUUUGAACUGAACCUAUUGCUAAAUUAACUCUACACAACAAUGUAAAUCACUAUAUAAUUUCCAAACCCCAACAUGCUAGGUUUUGAACACAUGUAGCUCUUUGCUUAGGAUCAAUUCUUGACCAGUUUAUAAUUGUGCAUUCCUCCUCUAGAUGGGGCAUCAUGAGUUGCACUAUCAUUUAUCUUUGGCUUUUACCCAAAUAGGAUUAGGAUUUGUUUGAAUAAGUGGAUUUGAAAUGAAGGAUUUUGAAGACAAUUUAUAAAACUGUAAAAAGUUAAUUAAUGGAUGUAAAAUUAAUAGUUAUGAAGUAAAUGCUGACAUAGAGAUAGGCAAUAUGUGUGUUGUAUUUGUACAAGUAGAAUCAUUCAUGGAAAGAUUUCUAGUAAAUAUGUUCAUCAAGUUAUUUUAAAUUCCUUAAUCUAAAUGCUACUUUGAUAAGUAUAUACACUUUUGAAAUAAGUGAUGUCCGAUUUGCUGGUUUCAAACUAUACAUACAAACACAAUGUUAUGGUAUUUGUUCAUAUAAGAAACACUGAAAAAUUUUAAAUGUAGGACACACUAUAUUGGAGACACAAUCAAAAUAUUUUUUUUUGUAUAUUUAUUAUAUGAUAUAUUUAUAUAUAUAUAUAAGGAUAAAAAAUUAUUAUAUGUCACAUAAAUGAAUAUUUAAUCAAAAGACAUAAUUUUGAAAGUUUAUAGGAAGAUUAAAGUUUAUAGGAAGAGAAUAAGUAUAAAAAUUUACAUUAUUUUUCUUUAUCAUUAGAUUUUAAGAUAAAUAGACAUGUUUCUCAAGUAUCUAAAGUGUAUAUAAGUCUAUAACUUUUUUUUUUGUCUUUUUUUUUAAAUGGUAGAACAUAUUUAGAAAUUGAGAAGUGUCUGGAGAGUGUUGUCUUCGUGUCCGAUACAACAAGCCGCCUUCUUGAAAGUGUUGGUCUUUCUUAGCUGGUCACUUCACAUCAUGUAGUUUCCUUUAGUAGCUAGAAAAUUUAUCUUGGCCUUUUGAUCACCUGAGGACCCUCAAACUGGUUCACCCAUUUAUGGUGCUGUUUGAUGAAGCUUAUUGUAAGCUAAAAAUUGAUAAUCAGAAAGCAGAAAUCAGAAGUACCCCUUCUUUAGCUUCUAAAUAAUCAGUUUUUCUUAACUUAUUUAAGCUAUUUCUGUCUAAAAAGCUGUAAGCAGAAGCUGCAUCAAACAGUCUAGAACAGAUUUUUAAAUUAAAAUAAGCAAUAAUCACCCCUCAUAAUUCACACCAAACAGCCCCUAUGUUGCUUUGUUGAUGCCUUGAUGUCACAUAAUUCCACCUAAUCAGGUAAUUGAGGCUCCAGCUGCAACCUACAAGGAAAAUUCAAUUUUAGCUACUGCCCAUUUUUUAGUCAUAAUAUCUAAACAUAUUAUUUAGUGUUAGAAGCCUAUAAAUUUUGGAUUGCUUAUAGUUAUAUAUCCCUCUCUUUUUUUUUUCUAAUUUUAAAAAAAUGGAUUUGUCAAAAGGAAGUUGAUUAAGAAUUAUACAACUAUUUGAUCAUGUUCAAUAUUUCAAGAUUGAAAAUUGAAAUACCUUCUAGCUACUAUAAAUGAAGGGCAAUUGUUCCUUGUAGCUAGUUAAUAAUAUUUCAAAAUUUUCACUUAUUGGACAAGUGUAUCUGUUUCUAUUCAGAUGCAUUUUCCAUUCACAUUAUGUGCAUUAUUAUCUCAACAGCUAGCUUAUAAUCAUAAGGUUUCCACAGUAUUUUCCACAAUAUUUUUUGCAUUAAUUAUUGUUUUGUUUUAAUUUCUCUACAUAUCAAUCACCAUCAUUUAGAGCAAUCCCUAUUUAAUUUUUAGAGAGAUGCAUAUUAAUAAUCAGAAGAAAAAAAGAAAAAGAAAAAGAAGAAGUGAAAAUCUUGUAGUUGAACUUGAUUCCUGGCUAAUCUUAGUGAAUUACGUUGAGGAGAUAAGAUUUGACAAAAUUGUCAUUUGUCUUCUAUUAUUAUAAGUCCUUUAGUUGGGUAUAUUCUAUCAACUUGAUUAAUCAUUUAUCAAUAAGCACUUUACUGUUUUUGUAUUUUUGUAAUUUUUUUGGAGGUACUACUAUGGCAUAUCAGGCUGGAUAUAUUGAUCCAAUUCUUAUUCGACACAAAAUUGUUCUUAUCUGAUAUUUCAUCAAGUGGAUGGCGCAUGCACUUGAUAUUCCAUCUUCUUUUCCACAUUUAUAAUGUUUUGUUUUCAUUAAUAAAAUGCUACCUUUUCCAAUUUCUUUUAAAAAAAUGGAUGGUGCAUGCAUCAUACCUAAGUUCAGUUUAUCAUUCUUUUAAGUUCUCAUUUUUAAAAAAAAUUAUUUUUUGGGUAAGGCUAGUUCUGAUAUAACCACAUCAAAUUCGGGUCAUGGCCCUAUAUAUAGGGAAGAUCAUUGUAAUGAAGGAGAUUAAUACAAAAUACAGUGGCUUUUCUGUGACUUUGUUUUUCUUAGAAGUGUCAUAGACACCACAUUUUUCCCCCAUCACAUCAGUUUAGGGAUAGACACAUGCAUGCACCUUCUUUAAAUCCUUGUCAUCUUUUUCUUUUUUCCCCUUUUUUUUUUUCUGAAAAAAAUAAAUUAUUAGAGGAUUUGUAGAAAGUCAAAUUAAGUUUUGGUGUGGAGGGAUUGGACAGAUGAUCUGAAGUGAUUUUGCUUGAAAGCCCAUUGUAGUUUGUUUACUUUGCCUAAAAUAAAUCUGUUUAAAUUCACACACACAAGCACAAUUUUGUGCGUACACAUUGAUGCUUUGUCAUCGUCCCUAUUAGCCGAUAUGCAUGAUUUUAGAUUUUUGAUAUCAAUAUUUACUAAUAUAUCAGUUGAUAUUAUUUGAUACCAGUAAUAUAUAAACACAUUGUUUAAAACCAUGCCUCCUACACAUGAUUUCUAGAAUCCUCUACUGACUAUUCAAAAGCUUGAUGAA